UACGGAAGGGGGCUAGCGUUGCUCGGAAUUACUGGGCGUAAAGGGCGCGUAGGCGGCACUGUUAGUCAGGCGUGAAAGUCCUGGGCUCAACCUGGGAACUGCGCUUGAUACGGCAGAGCUAGAGGAUGGAAGAGGCUCGCGGAAUUCCCAGUGUAGAGGUGAAAUUCGUAGAUAUUGGGAAGAACACCGGUGGCGAAGGCGGCGAGCUGGUCCAUUACUGACGCUGAGGCGCGACAGCGUGGGGAGCAAACAGG
rnacentral:rRNA from 1 species